rnacentral:tRNA from 1 species
GCCUGGGUGGCUCAGUCGGUUGGGCAUCUGACUCCAGCUCAGGUCAUGGUCUCACAGUCCGGUCCAUGGGUUCGAGCCCCGCAUCAGGCU